AGUGCUGAGUCACUCUCAAACUUCACAGCAUUCCACGACAGCUCAUCCUUCUUGACUUUCCUUUUUUUUUCCCUUUUCCUUUUUCCUUUUUUAAGUUCUCUUAAUAUUUUUUAUUCCCAACAGACUUGUCUUUGGACAAAAUUGAGAAGAACUCAUAAACUUGGCUUCCUCGCUUCUGCUCCUCAGACGCGCGUGGAUGAUUUGAAGAUAUUAGCCUAACAAGAUGGAAGCAGGUUUAAAAUUUUACAUAAGAAGUUACCUUUUUCAGUUGUGUUGAUGUUCCUUUCAGCUGGUCCUAUAGUACCCCUCCUCAGGAAUGUCUCCCCAGUGCAAGGACAAAGACUGAAGAGACUGCUAUAUUGAUGGACUCUCAAGCCAACUAUGAAGUUGAAACAAAGAAAGUGAUCACCUGAAGACACCUCCUCUGCUAAGAAACACCCCCAAAUUGUGCAGCUUCUGCCACUAGAACUCUCAGAACAAGAGACAAUCUUUUCAAGAAACAGAAAAACUCAAUAAUGACAUCUAGAUUUUCAUGAGCCAAGAACUUUCCCUUCCUCAUGUGUAUUCCUCUGUUUGUACUUAAAUUCAUGUGACAUUCAUUUUUUUCCUAGUAUGGAUAUGCUUAUUAAUGCACUUGUUUCAAAAUCCCAAAUUGCACAAAUGUGUUAAUAUUUUAAGAAACAAAAUGAAUCCUACAAGGAGAAUGAUUUUUAGCCACACAUAGGGUUGGAUCUUGAGAGUGACCUACAGAAUAAAAGUACUUUUAAAAUAAAGUAGUCAGAGGCUAUUCAAAGGGUAAAAUAAUCAUAGUACCACAUUGGUCCACUUGACACUAACCAAUCGAUCAUUUUUUUUUAAUCAAGAAAGCUAGAUUCUAUCAGAUAAAAUCACUGCUUCUAAAGAGUUUAAAUCUAGUUAGAAAAAGUUAUAGAAAUGUUUGCAAAGAUAAGUAACAGAUAGAGUCAGUAGAGGAUAAGAUCAAAAACAAAACCAAGCAAAAGAUGAGUUCAGGGGAGUUUGCCAUCAAGUUGGCAAAACUGACUUACUUAGGGAAGAAAGUUAUAAAACAGGAAAAUAUGAGAUGAACCUUGAGUGAUGUGGAAGAUUUAGAUAAAUGGAAAGGAAGGAGAAAAUGGAGUUCUUUAGGUGGUUGUAAUUGGAGGAGGAAAUGAAUACACACAUCUUGUUGACUUAAACCCAGACAUUCAGCAGCUCUCUAUACAUAUCUGGAAAAGACUGCACAGUCACCUCCUGUCUCUCACCCCAGGUAUUACUUAGAAUUAUUAUCAUAUUUCCCUUCCUUUAAAGUAAGUAAGGGUGAUUGGUGACAAUAUGGAGAACUAUGAUUUUUCCAUUAACCUAAUAAUAAUUGGUAUUUAUUGAGUUCUGUUAAGCAUUUUACAUAUUAACUCACUUAAGCCUUUCAACAGCCUUGCAAAAUAGGUAUUAUUAUCCCCAUUUUACAGGCAAGAAAACUGAGGUUUAAGUAACUUGCCGAAGUGCCAUAUACAGGGCUCACAUUCAGUAUUGCAGUUGCAAAGCUCAUGAUCUAUAGUGCCAAGUUGCAAUAUUGUAGUCAAUGUCACAAUUAUUACCCCUUUUUAUAUUCCUUGAUAUUUUUCCAUGGCAAACAAUUAGCUAUUUCAUUUAAUAAUCACCUAAAACUUUUCAGUCUUCUGAUUAAAAUUACGCUGGAGUGAUAGAAUGUAUUUUCAUGAUAGAAAUUGGGAAAAAAAAUGGGGAAUGAAGUUUAUCAGCAUUUCAGACUUGUUUUUUUUUUUUUUUUUUGCAAGACUUUGAUGAGAUUGUUCACUUUUGUCUAUGUAAAAUCCCAAAUCCUUGAGAAUAAAAAAGGGGGAGGUUUAAGUCACUUGUUGCAAUGCCCUUUUUAAUAGAGGCAAUAAAUCUAAAGGCCAUAAAUUUAGAGUGACUUACAGAAGAUCGAACUUUGGAGUGUGGCAGAGUAAGGGAUGGAAACCGGGCCCUCCAGUUCACUAUCAGUAGCUUUUGCACUGGUCUGCCCUUCCUAAAUUAAGUAUGCACUUCAAUUUGAUGAGUGGAAACAGUCUAUCUGGGCAGUAACCAGGGAGCUUUGUGCCUAGUAGAUUGCUUCUGUUCUGCACUUCUUUGGUUUCCCACCUCAAUGUAAAAAAUAGCUAGCAAUGAAGUCCAGAAGUUGUCAAUGGUUCAUCCCCAGAAGAAUGCAUAAUGUCCAAAGUUGUAUGUGUAUGAUGUCUUCAAUGGUAUUAAGUUAUUUCAAAUUCUUAGUUCACCUACAUAAAUCAUUUCUAACAAGCAUCUUCUUAACCAACUUUAUGCACAGUGUAUGUUUGUAAGUGCUUCUGCACGAAUGUUUAUACAUGACUGUUUCCAUAGUACUUAUGUUUUUAAAAAUAUUCAGUCAUUUCCUACUAUAAUCCUCAUGUAUCCAUGUAACUGACUCAAAAAUACUUCAGCCACAGAAAGCUAAAACUGAGCAAAUCUCAUUCUUCUUUUCCAUCCCCUUUGCAUGUGGCUGGCAUUUAGUAAUGAUUAAUAAUAUGGCCAGCUGAAUAACAGAGGUUUGAGACACAAUUCUUUCUCAAAGGAGUCAGCUAAGCUGGGUCUACUUAUGGACAAACAUCUAAAUGUGUGGAAGUAUCUGAUAUUUGACAAUGGUAAAUUUCCACUUAGCUAGCUAGCAUUGUCAGACUUCAAUCUCCUCAUGGCUCUGGCCGUCCUGUUUUAAGCAUGAUAAUUGUUGGCCACAUCUCACAUAGUUCUCAUUGAGUGAGUUCAUAAAUAAACAG
rnacentral:lncRNA from 1 species